AAUCCUUCAACUUUCCAAAACAAAGAUUCUUCAAUUGACAAUUUUGUUUCUACUCAGAAUCCGUCACAAACAUCUUUACUUGUUGAAGCUUCUAGUUACAGGAACUGUUCAUCUCCAGAAAGGAGAAUGAAGACUGUGAUUUCCAGCUAUGGCAGUGCAUAGAGCUUCCAAGGUGGAGCUGGUUUCGUUGCAGCAACAGGAUUUCAGCCAUAUGUCAUUGCUGAGCGACUAUAGAAGAACCUGAAGAAGGAUCUAAUGCAUUCUUGAUGCAGGGGAUACAAGCUAAUCUAAUGCAACUUUUGUCAAACAAUAGAGUGUACUUGCACUCGUAAGGAUUUGGUGUCCUUUCUGCAUCGCCUUUAGAAUGGAAGAGAAAGUGAAUAAACAAAUAAAAUACAGAGGGCAUGUAGUUGUAUCAAUUAUAGGAGUCAAAUUCAAUUAUAUGUACAUACCAAACAGUAUGCAUUGGUUCCUUUUUUUUGUUAUGAGAAUGAGAAGAAUGAAAAACAUGAAACCUGAGUUGAUGAAACAAUUCGAUGAAACAUUAUGCACUUUUUUCCCUUCUUCUUGUUGGUAGAAUGUUGCUCAUCAUAUUCAGAUAUGGAGUCUUGGCUUACUUUUCUUUUUCCUUUGUUACUUUGCUUCCCUUUCUCCCUUGUUUCUUCAAGAGCAAUAAUCUUAGUACUCUUCCUCCUUUCAUUUUGCUCUAGUUCUUGUAUCACAAUUCCAUUUUUCUUUGUAGACCCUAUGUAUAGAUUUAUCAAGAUAUACAUUAGCACUACUCUCUGUUUUGUACAUUCUAUAUGUAACAAAUGUGUAAUAUGUAAUUUAUCACUAUUAAUGAAAAACUUCACCAAUAGUGGUUAUCUUAAUGUUAA